rnacentral:rRNA from 1 species
AACAAAAACAUGUUCUUUAGAGUAUAAUUUAAGAUUUAACCUGCCCAAUGAUUUAAUUAAAUGGCCGCAGUAUUUUGACUGUGCAAAGGUAGCAUAAUCAUUAGUUUUUUAAUUGAAAGCUUGUAUGAAUGGUUGGACGAGAAAAAAUCUGUUUCUAUUUAUUAAAUUGAAUUUAAUUUUUUAGUUAAAAAGCUAAAAUUAUAUUAAAAGACGAGAAGACCCUAUAGAUCUUUAUAAUAAUAAUAAUAUUUUAUUUAUAGAAUUUAAUAAUAUUUUAUUAUUGUUAUUAUUUUAUUGGGGUAAUAGAAAGAUUUAAUUAAUUCUUUUAUAUUAAAAUAUUUUAUGAUAAAAUUUUGAUCCAUUAAUAAUGAAUAAUGAUUAAGUUACCUUAGGGAUAACAGCGUAAUUUUUUUAGAGAGUUCUUAUCAAUAAAAGAGAUUGCGACCUCGAUGUUG